UAAAUGUCCUAAAGCAGCGGUCCCUAACUUUUUUGGCACCAGGGACCUGUUUCGUGGAGGACCAUUUUUCCACAGACAGGGGUUUGGGGGAAUGGUUUUGGGAUAAAAUUGUUCCACCUCAGAUAAUCAGGAAUUACAUUCUCAUAAGGAGUGUGCAACCCAGGUCCCUUGCACCCACAGUUCACAAUAGGGCUUGCACUCCUAUGAGAAUCUAAUGCUGCCACUGAUUUGACUGGAAGUGGGGCUCAGGCCAUAAUGCUCACUUCGGGCUGUGUGGCCCAGCCUGGUUCCUAACAGGACAUGGACCAGGGGUUGGAGACCCCUGAUUUAUCCUACAGAUCUAUUUGCAUGUGCAUGAAACAUGU